rnacentral:sRNA from 1 species
GUUGGGCGCGGUGGCGCACGCCUGCAAUCCCAGAUGCUCAGGAGGCUGAGACAGGAGGAUUAUAAAUUCAAAGCCAGCAUCAGCAAUUUAGUGAAGCCGUAGCAACUCAGUGAGACCCUGUUUCUA